rnacentral:lncRNA from 1 species
CCAAGCAAUCCACCCGGGACUAAGAAUACGGUUCAAGCGGUCGGUCGCCCACAACGGAAGGGGCCGGAAUUUCCCAUGAAGCACUAAAACAAAACAGCGCGCAAAGUCAACGAACCAAGCAACAUAGACAACGAGAAAAGGGGAGAACAAAUAAACUACCAGGCUCGGGAUUCCACUCGGUCCUAAAACCGCAGAGGAAUCAGCCACAGAAGCAGGGCUAACGCG